GCUUCUUGGCCUCUUGGCGAAGCUCAAGUGUAGUAU
rnacentral:snRNA from 1 species